rnacentral:rRNA from 1 species
UACGAAGGGUGCAAGCGUUAAUCGGAAUUACUGGGCGUAAAGCGUGUGUAGGCGGUUUCUUAAGUCUGCUGUGAAAUCCCCCGGGCUCAACCUGGGAAUGGCAGUGGAUACUGGGAAGCUAGAGUGUGAUAGAGGAUGGUGGAAUUCCCGGUGUAGCGGUGAAAUGCGUAGAGAUCGGGAGGAACAUCAGUGGCGAAGGCGGCCAUCUGGAUCAACACUGACGCUGAGACACGAAAGCGUGGGGAGCAAACAGG